GCUUACGGCCAUACCACCCUGAGCACGCCAGAUCUCGUCUGAUCUCAGAUGCUAAGCAGGGGCGGGCCUGGUUAGUACUUGGAUGGGAGACUGCCUAGGAAUACCAGGUGCUGUAAGCG
ensembl:rRNA 5S_rRNA 5S ribosomal RNA